CCGCCAGAGAACUACAAGUGAAAAACUUAAAACUCAAAGGACUUGACGGUGUCCCAUAUCGACCUAGAGGAGCCUGUCCUAUAAUCGAUACUCCACGUUUUACCUAACCCUAACUAGCACAAUAACAGCCUAUAUACCGCCGUCGACAGCCUACCCUAUGAAGGUCUAACAGUAGACACAAUAGCCCAACCGCUAGCACGUCAGGUCAAGGUGUAGCAAAUGCUAGGGAAGAGAUUGGCUACAUUUUUUAUAAUAAAAAACACGAAAAGUACUAUGAAACUGUACAUGAAGGUGAAUUUAGUAGUAAAAUAGAUAAGAGUGUCUAUUUUAACAACGCUCUGGGACGCGUACACACCG
rnacentral:rRNA from 1 species